UUUUUUUUUUGGAAGGGGACAGGGAGACACAGCGUCAUCUUGUCACCCAGGCUGGAGUGUAGAGGCAACAUCUGAGCUCACUGCAACCUCUGCCUCCCAGGCUCAAGCAAUUCCCCUGCCUCAGCCUCCCAAGUACCUGGGAUUGCAGGUGCACACCACAACACCUGGCUAAUUUUAUUUCUGUAUUUUUAUUAGAGACAGGUUAUCACCAUGUUGGUCAGACUGGUCUCGAACUCCUGACCUCAUGCAAUCCGUCUGCCUCGGCCUCCCAAAGUGCUGAGAUUACAGGCGUGAGCCACCGCACCCGGCAGAAAUCUUUUUUCUUUUUUUCUUUAUUUGAGACCAAGUCUCGCACUGUUUCCUGGACUGGAGUGCAGUGGCGCAAUCUCGGCUCACCGCAAUCUCUGCCUCCCAGGUUCAAGCGAUUUUCCUGCCUCACCCUCCAAAGUAGCUGGGAUUACAGCGAUGGGUGAUUAGGGAUUAAAAAACAAUUAAAAUUGAGUGAGUUUAAAUCAUGUAUUCUUACCAGGCACAGUGUAAUCACACCUGUAAACCCAGCACUUUGGGAGAGUGAGGUGGGUGGAUCACCUGAGGUCAAGAGUUCAAGAUGAGCCUGGCCAACAUGGCGAAACCACAUCUCUACUAAAAAUACAAAAAUCAGCUGGGUGUGGUGGCGGGCACUUCUAAUCUCAGCUACUUGGGAGGCUGAGGCAGGAGAAUUGCUUAAACCCAGGAGGCGGAGGUUGCAAUGAGCCAAGAUUGCGCCACUGCAUUCCAGCUUGGGCAACAGAGGGAGACUCUGUCUCAAAAAAACAGAAAAAAGAAUCUUAAAAGGCUCCACUGGGGGCAACAACGAAAAAAAGCUGAAAAAUGCUACUCUAAAUGAAUUUACUGGCCAGGCAUAGUGGCUCACACCUGAAAUCCCAAUACCAGUGAGAGGCCAAGGUGGCAGGAUCACUUGAGGGCAGAAGUUUGAGACCAGCCUGGGCAACAUAGUAAAACCCUGUCUC
rnacentral:lncRNA from 10 species